rnacentral:rRNA from 1 species
CAAAUAUCUGCCUAUCAACUUUCGAUGGGUAGGAUAGAGGCCUACCAUGGUGGUCAACGGGUCACGGGGCAAUAAGGGUUCGAUUCCGGAGAGGGAGCCUGAGAAACGGUACCACAUCCAAGGAAGGCAGCAGGCGCGCAAAUUACCCAAUCCCGACAACGGGGAGGUAGUGACAAUAAAUAACAAUAUAGGGCUCUUUUGGGUCUUAUAAUUGGAAUGAGUACAAUUUAAAUCUCUUAACGAGGAACAAUUGGCAGGGCCAGUCUGGUGCCAGCAGCCGCGGUUAAUUCCAGCUCCAAUAGCGUAUAUUAAAGUUGUUGCAGUUAACAAGCUCGUAGUUGAAUUUCAGACCUGGCCGGGUGGUCCGCUUAACGGCGUGUACUUGUCUGGCUGGGCCUUACCUCUUGGUGAGCCCGGCGUAUUCUUUUUAAGUGGUAGCGUCGGGGGAACCAGGGACUUUUACCUUGAGAAAAUUAGACGUGUUCAAAAGCAGGCCUAUGCCCCGAAUACAUUAGCAUGGGAAUCACUAAAAUAGGACGUGCGGG